GUUGUGAGGUUAAGCGACUAAGCGUACACGGUGGAUGCCCUGGCAGUCAGAGGCGAUGAAGGGCGUGCUAAUCUGCGAUAAGCGCCGGUAAGGUGAUAUGAACCGUUAUAACCGGCGAUACCCGAAUGGGGAAACCCAGUGUGACUCGUCACACUAUCAUUAACUGAAUCCAUAGGUUAAUGAGGCGAACCGGGGGAACUGAAACAUCUAAGUACCCCGAGGAAAAGAAAUCAACCGAGAUUCCCCCAGUAGCGGCGAGCGAACGGGGAGGAGCCCAGAGCCUGAAUCAGCAUGUGUGUUAGUGGAAGCGUCUGGAAAGGCGCGCGAUACAGGGUGACAGCCCCGUACACAAAAGCGCAUGUGCUGUGAGCUCGAUGAGUAGGGCGGGACACGUGGUAUCCUGUCUGAAUAUGGGGGGACCAUCCUCCAAGGCUAAAUACUCCUGACUGACCGAUAGUGAACCAGUACCGUGAGGGAAAGGCGAAAAGAACCCCGGCGAGGGGAGUGAAAAAGAACCUGAAACCGUGUACGUACAAGCAGUGGGAGCACAGGUUUACCUGUGUGACUGCGUACCUUUUGUAUAAUGGGUCAGCGACUUAUAUUCUGUAGCAAGGUUAACCGAAUAGGGGAGCCGGAGGGAAACCGAGUCUUAAUUGGGCGUUAAGUUGCAGGGUAUAGACCCGAAACCCGGUGAUCUAGCCAUGGGCAGGUUGAAGGUUGGGUAACACUAACUGGAGGACCGAACCGACUAAUGUUGAAAAAUUAGCGGAUGACCUGUGGCUGGGGGUGAAAGGCCAAUCAAACCGGGAGAUAGCUGGUUCUCCCCGAAAGCUAUUUAGGUAGCGCCUCGUGAAUUCAUCUCCGGGGGUAGAGCACUGUUUCGGCUAGGGGGCCAUCCCGGCUUACCAACCCGAUGCAAACUGCGAAUACCGGAGAAUGUUAUCACGGGAGACACACGGCGGGUGCUAACGUCCGUCGUGAAGAGGGAAACAACCCAGACCGCCAGCUAAGGUCCCAAAGUCAUGGUUAAGUGGGAAACGAUGUGGGAAGGCCCAGACAGCCAGGAUGUUGGCUUAGAAGCAGCCAUCAUUUAAAGAAAGCGUAAUAGCUCACUGGUCGAGUCGGCCUGCGCGGAAGAUGUAACGGGGCUAAACCAUGCACCGAAGCUGCGGCAGCGACACUGUGUGUUGUUGGGUAGGGGAGCGUUCUGUAAGCCUGUGAAGGUGUGUCGUGAGGCAUGCUGGAGGUAUCAGAAGUGCGAAUGCUGACAUAAGUAACGAUAAAGCGGGUGAAAAGCCCGCUCGCCGGAAGACCAAGGGUUCCUGUCCAACGUUAAUCGGGGCAGGGUGAGUCGACCCCUAAGGCGAGGCCGAAAGGCGUAGUCGAUGGGAAACGGGUUAAUAUUCCCGUACUUGGUGUUACUGCGAAGGGGGGACGGAGAAGGCUAUGUUGGCCGGGCGACGGUUGUCCCGGUUUAAGCGUGUAGGUGUGUGUUCCAGGUAAAUCCGGUUCACUUUAACACUGAGGCGUGACGACGAGGCACUACGGUGCUGAAGCAACAAAUGCCCUGCUUCCAGGAAAAGCCUCUAAGCAUCAGGUAACAUCAAAUCGUACCCCAAACCGACACAGGUGGUCAGGUAGAGAAUACCAAGGCGCUUGAGAGAACUCGGGUGAAGGAACUAGGCAAAAUGGUGCCGUAACUUCGGGAGAAGGCACGCUGACACGUAGGUGAAGUGAUUUACUCAUGGAGCUGAAGUCAGUCGAAGAUACCAGCUGGCUGCAACUGUUUAUUAAAAACACAGCACUGUGCAAACACGAAAGUGGACGUAUACGGUGUGACGCCUGCCCGGUGCCGGAAGGUUAAUUGAUGGGGUCAGCGCAAGCGAAGCUCCUGAUCGAAGCCCCGGUAAACGGCGGCCGUAACUAUAACGGUCCUAAGGUAGCGAAAUUCCUUGUCGGGUAAGUUCCGACCUGCACGAAUGGCGUAAUGAUGGCCAGGCUGUCUCCACCCGAGACUCAGUGAAAUUGAACUCGCUGUGAAGAUGCAGUGUACCCGCGGCAAGACGGAAAGACCCCGUGAACCUUUACUAUAGCUUGACACUGAACAUUGAGCCUUGAUGUGUAGGAUAGGUGGGAGGCUUUGAAGUGUGGACGCCAGUCUGCAUGGAGCCGACCUUGAAAUACCACCCUUUAAUGUUUGAUGUUCUAACGUGGACCCGUUACCCGGGUUGCGGACAGUGUCUGGUGGGUAGUUUGACUGGGGCGGUCUCCUCCUAAAGAGUAACGGAGGAGCACGAAGGUUGGCUAAUCCUGGUCGGACAUCAGGAGGUUAGUGCAAUGGCAUAAGCCAGCUUGACUGCGAGCGUGACGGCGCGAGCAGGUGCGAAAGCAGGUCAUAGUGAUCCGGUGGUUCUGAAUGGAAGGGCCAUCGCUCAACGGAUAAAAGGUACUCCGGGGAUAACAGGCUGAUACCGCCCAAGAGUUCAUAUCGACGGCGGUGUUUGGCACCUCGAUGUCGGCUCAUCACAUCCUGGGGCUGAAGUAGGUCCCAAGGGUAUGGCUGUUCGCCAUUUAAAGUGGUACGCGAGCUGGGUUUAGAACGUCGUGAGACAGUUCGGUCCCUAUCUGCCGUGGGCGCUGGAGAACUGAGGGGGGCUGCUCCUAGUACGAGAGGACCGGAGUGGACGCAUCACUGGUGUUCGGGUUGUCAUGCCAAUGGCACUGCCCGGUAGCUAAAUGCGGAAGAGAUAAGUGCUGAAAGCAUCUAAGCACGAAACUUGCCCCGAG
rnacentral:rRNA from 1 species